AUAAGCGGAGGAAAAGAAACCAACAGGGAUUGCCUUAGUAACGGCGAGUGAAGCGGCAAAAGCUCAAAUUUGAAAUCUGACACCUCUGGUGUUCGAGUUGUAAUUUGGAGAGGCAUCUUCUGGAGGGGCCCAGCCUAUGUGCCUUGGAACAGGACGUCAUAGAGGGUGAGAAUCCCGUACUUGGCUGGAUGUUCCCUCCUGUAUGUAGUGUCUUCUACGAGUCGAGUUGUUUGGGAAUGCAGCUCAAAAUGGGUGGUAAAUUUCAUCUAAAGCUAAAUAUUGGCGAGAGACCGAUAGCGCACAAGUAGAGUGAUCGAAAGAUGAAAAGCACUUUGAAAAUAGAGUCAAACAGUACGUGAAAUUGUUGAAAGGGAAGCGCUUAGGACCAGACCUGGGGAAUAGCAAACAAUCGCCCACCGGGGCGGUGCACUUGUUAGCUCCUCGGGCCAGCAUGGGUUGGGACGGUGGGAUAAAGACUCGGGAAAUGUGACUCCUUCGUGGAGUGUUAUAGUCCCGGGUGGCAUGCCAUCAGUCCCGACUGUGGAACGCGCACCGGCACGGAUGCUGGG
rnacentral:rRNA from 1 species